GACGAACGCUGGGGGCGUGCUUUAACACAUGCAAGUCGAACGAGACGGAUUGGGAGCUUGCUCCUGACAAGUCGAGUGGCAAACGGGUGAGUAACGCGUAGACAACCUGCCGCAAAGAUGGGGACAACAGCCCGAAAGGGCUGCUAAUACCGAAUGUUGCGCCCCUCCCGCAUGGGAGGGGCGCCAAAGAUGGCCUCUGCCUGCAAGCCAUCGCUUUGCGAUGGGUCUGCGCCUGAUUGGCCAGUUGGCGGGGCAACGGCCCACCAAGGCGACGAUCAGUAGCCGGUCUGAGAGGAUGGACGGCCACAUUGGGACUGAGACACGGCCCAGACUCCUACGGGAGGCAGCAGUGGGGAAUCUUCCGCAAUGGGCGAAAGCCUGACGGAGCAACGCCGCGUGGGUGAAGAAGGUCUUCGGAUCGUAAAGCCCUGUUGCCCGGGACGAACGCCCCCGGCGCGAACAGC
rnacentral:rRNA from 1 species